rnacentral:rRNA from 1 species
UUAAGCGACUAAGCGUACACGGUGGAUGCCCUGGCAGUCAGAGGCGAUGAAGGACGUGCUAAUCUGCGAAAAGCGCCGGCGAGGUGAUAUGAACCUUUGACCCGGCGAUGUCCGAAUGGGGAAACCCAGUGUGAUUCGUCACACUAUCGUUAACUGAAUACAUAGGUUAACGAGGCGAACCGGGGGAACUGAAACAUCUAAGUACCCCGAGGAAAAGAAAUCAACCGAGAUUCCCCCAGUAGCGGCGAGCGAACGGGGAGCAGCCCAGAGUCUGAAUCAGCUUGUGUGUUAGUGGAAGCGUCUGGAAAGUCGCACGGUACAGGGUGACAGUCCCGUACACGAAAGCACACAGGUUGUGAACUCGAAGAGUAGGGCGGGACACGUGGUAUCCUGUCUGAAUAUGGGGGGACCAUCCUCCAAGGCUAAAUACUCCUGACUGACCGAUAGUGAACCAGUACCGUGAGGGAAAGGCGAAAAGAACCCCGGCGAGGGGAGUGAAAAAGAACCUGAAACCGUGUACGUACAAGCAGUGGGAGCACCUUCGUGGUGUGACUGCGUACCUUUUGUAUAAUGGGUCAGCGACUUAUAUUCUGUAGCAAGGUUAACCGUAUAGGGGAGCCGAAGGGAAACCGAGUCUUAACUGGGCGUUAAGUUGCAGGGUAUAGACCCGAAACCCGGUGAUCUAGCCAUGGGCAGGUUGAAGGUUGGGUAACACUAACUGGAGGACCGAACCGACUAAUGUUGAAAAAUUAGCGGAUGACUUGUGGCUGGGGGUGAAAGGCCAAUCAAACCGGGAGAUAGCUGGUUCUCCCCGAAAGCUAUUUAGGUAGCGCCUCGUGAACUCAUCUUCGGGGGUAGAGCACUGUUUCGGCUAGGGGGCCAUCCCGGCUUACCAACCCGAUGCAAACUACGAAUACCGAAGAAUGUUAUCACGGGAGACACACGGCGGGUGCUAACGUCCGUCGUGAAGAGGGAAACAACCCAGACCGCCAGCUAAGGUCCCAAAGUCAUGGUUAAGUGGGAAACGAUGUGGGAAGGCACAGACAGCCAGGAUGUUGGCUUAGAAGCAGCCAUCAUUUAAAGAAAGCGUAAUAGCUCACUGGUCGAGUCGGCCUGCGCGGAAGAUGUAACGGGGCUAAACCAUGCACCGAAGCUGCGGCAGCGACACUAUGUGUUGUUGGGUAGGGGAGCGUUCUGUAAGCCGUUGAAGGUGUGCUGUGAGGCAUGCUGGAGGUAUCAGAAGUGCGAAUGCUGACAUAAGUAACGAUAAAGCGGGUGAAAAGCCCGCUCGCCGGAAGACCAAGGGUUCCUGUCCAACGUUAAUCGGGGCAGGGUGAGUCGACCCCUAAGGCGAGGCCGAAAGGCGUAGUCGAUGGGAAACAGGUUAAUAUUCCUGUACUUGGUGUUACUGCGAAGGGGGGACGGAGAAGGCUAUGUUAGCCGGGCGACGGUUGUCCCGGUUUAAGCAUGUAGGCGAAACGAUUAGGUAAAUCCGGUCGUUUUUUAACGCUGAGGUGUGAUGACGAGGCACUACGGUGCUGAAGUAACAAAUGCCCUGCUUCCAGGAAAAGCCUCUAAGCAUCAGGUAACAUCAAAUCGUACCCCAAACCGACACAGGUGGUCAGGUAGAGAAUACCAAGGCGCUUGAGAGAACUCGGGUGAAGGAACUAGGCAAAAUGGUGCCGUAACUUCGGGAGAAGGCACGCUGAUAUGUAGGUGAAGCCCCUGCGGGUGGAGCUGAAAUCAGUCGAAGAUACCAGCUGGCUGCAACUGUUUAUUAAAAACACAGCACUGUGCAAACACGAAAGUGGACGUAUACGGUGUGACGCCUGCCCGGUGCCGGAAGGUUAAUUGAUGGGGUUAGCGGCAACGCGAAGCUCUUGAUCGAAGCCCCGGUAAACGGCGGCCGUAACUAUAACGGUCCUAAGGUAGCGAAAUUCCUUGUCGGGUAAGUUCCGACCUGCACGAAUGGCGUAAUGAUGGCCAGGCUGUCUCCACCCGAGACUCAGUGAAAUUGAACUCGCUGUGAAGAUGCAGUGUACCCGCGGCAAGACGGAAAGACCCCGUGAACCUUUACUAUAGCUUGACACUGAACACUGGUCCUUGAUGUGUAGGAUAGGUGGGAGGCUUUGAAGUGUGGACGCCAGUCUGCAUGGAGCCGUCCUUGAAAUACCACCCUUUAAUGGCUGGUGUUCUAACGUAGACCCGUAAUCCGGGUUGCGGACAGUGUCUGGUGGGUAGUUUGACUGGGGCGGUCUCCUCCCAAAGAGUAACGGAGGAGCACGAAGGUUAGCUAAUCCUGGUCGGACAUCAGGAGGUUAGUGCAAUGGCAUAAGCUAGCUUGACUGCGAGAGUGACGGCUCGAGCAGGUGCGAAAGCAGGUCAUAGUGAUCCGGUGGUUCUGAAUGGAAGGGCCAUCGCUCAACGGAUAAAAGGUACUCCGGGGAUAACAGGCUGAUACCGCCCAAGAGUUCAUAUCGACGGCGGUGUUUGGCACCUCGAUGUCGGCUCAUCACAUCCUGGGGCUGAAGUAGGUCCCAAGGGUAUGGCUGUUCGCCAUUUAAAGUGGUACGCGAGCUGGGUUUAGAACGUCGUGAGACAGUUCGGUCCCUAUCUGCCGUGGGCGCUGGAGAAUUGAGGGGGGCUGCUCCUAGUACGAGAGGACCGGAGUGGACGCAUCACUGGUGUUCGGGUUGUCAUGCCAAUGGCACUGCCCGGUAGCUAAAUGCGGAAAAGAUAAGUGCUGAAAGCAUCUAAGCACGAAACUUGCCCCGAGAUGAGUUCUCCCUGAGACUUUAAGUCUCCUGAAGGAACGUUGAAGACGACGACGUUGAUAGGUCGGGUGUGUAAGCGCAGCGAUGCGUUGAGCUAACCGAUACUAAUGAACCGUGAGGCUUAACCU